UACAGAGGCCCCAAGCGUUGUUCGGAUUCACUGGGCGUAAAGGGUGCGUAGGUGGUGAGGUAAGUCGGAUGUGAAAUCUCCGGGCUCAACCCGGAAAUGGCAUUGGAAACUACCUUGCUGGAGGAUUUGAGGGGGGAUUGGAAUACUUGGUGUAGCAGUGAAAUGCGUAGAUAUCAAGUGGAACACCAGUGGCGAAGGCGAAUCCCUGGAAAAUACCUGACACUGAGGCACGAAAGCUAGGGGAGCAAACAGG
rnacentral:rRNA from 1 species